GAGAUGGCCUCUUGUUAAUGGCAGAUGCAAAAAACCUUUUUGGAAACAGGACUCUAGUGAAAAAUGGCACAGUGGCUGGAAAUCAUACUGGGAGUUUAGGUUUUUGGGUCACAACCAUGACAACAAACCCGCCUGGGCAACAGCAGCGCGUUCCGUUGAGAACUGCUCAGCAAGGAGACAGAACAGCGCCGCAGACGCACGCGUUUACAGGGAAAGCACUCAGC